rnacentral:rRNA from 1 species
GGAUUGGGAGGGUUCUACGGAACCCGUUUGGUGAAUCUAGUGCCGAGAAAAGCCUUCUAUGUGUUGAAUUUCUAGUACCCGUACCCCAAACCGACACAGGUGGGUGGGUAGAGCAUACCUAGGGGCGCGUGAUAACUCUCUCUAAGGAACUCGGCAAAAUGGCCCUGUAACUUCGGGAUAAGGGGUGCCUGCGUGAGCAGGCCGCAGUGAAAUGGCUCUGGCGACUGUUUACCAAAAACACAGGUCUCUGCUAAGUCGUAAGACGAUGUAUAGGGGCUGACUCCUGCCCAGUGCCGGAAGGUUAAGGAAGUUGGUUAGCGCAAGCGAAGCUGGCGACCGAAGCCCCGGUGAACGGCGGCCGUAACUAUAACGGUCCUAAGGUAGCGAAAUUCCUUGUCGGGUAAGUUCCGACCCGCACGAAAGGAGUAACGAUCAGAGCGCUGUCUCGGAGAGAGACACGGCGAAAUAGGAUUGUCCGUGAAGAUACGGACUACCUGCACCCGGACAGAAAGACCCUAUGAAGCUUUACUGUAACUUGGAAUUGUGUUCGGACUUUGUCUGCGCAGAAUAGGUGGGAGGCUAUGAAACGUUCCUCGCGGGGAACUGGAGCCAUCGUUGAGAUACCACUCUGGCAGAGUCUGGAUUCUAACCUACGGGGACAGUUCCAGGUGGGCAGUUUGACUGGGGCGGUCGCCUCCUAAAAUGUAACGGAGGCGCGCAAAGGUUCCCUCAGGCUGGUUGGAAAUCAGCCAUAGAGUGUAAAAGCAUAAGGGAGCUUGACUGUGAGACCUACAAGUCGAGCAGGGACGAAAGUCGGCUUUAGUGAUCCGACGGCACUGAGUGGAAGGGCCGUCGCUCAACGGAUAAAAGUUACUCUAAGGAUAACGGGCUGAUCUCCCCCAAGAGUUCACAUCGACGGGGAGGUUUGGCACCUCGAUGUCGGCUCGUCGCAACCUGGGGCGGUAGUACGUCCCAAGGGUUGGGCUGUUCGCCCAUUAAAGCGGCACGUGAGCUGGGUUCAGAACGUCGUGAGACAGUUCGGUCCAUAUCCGGUGUAGGCGUAGGAGCAUUGAAAGGAUCUCUCCUUAGUACGAGAGGACCGGGAGGGACGUACCUCUGGUGUACCUGUUAUCGCGCCAACGGUAAACGCAGGGUAGCCAUGUACGGAGUGGAUAACCGCUGAAAGCAUCUAAGUGGGAAGCCCACCUUAAGAUGAGUGCUCCCUUGAGGCCACGGGAAGACGACCCGUUUGAUAGGCGCUAGGUGGAAGUGCAGUAAUGCAUGCAGCCGAGGCGUACUAAUAGGCCGAUGGCUUGUCC